rnacentral:rRNA from 1 species
AGUGAACGCUGGCGGCAGGCCUAACACAUGCAAGUCGAACGGCAGCACAGUAAGAGCUUGCUCUUACGGGUGGCGAGUGGCGGACGGGUGAGGAAUACAUCGGAAUCUACUUUUUCGUGGGGGAUAACGUAGGGAAACUUACGCGAAUACCGCAUACGACCUACUGGUGAAAGCAGGGGAUCUUCGGACCUUGCGCGAGUGAAUGAGCCGAUGUCGGAGUAGCUAGUCGGCGGGGUAAAGGCCCACCAAGGCGACGAUCCGUAGCUGGUCUGAGAGGAAGAUCAGCCACAUUGGAACUGAGGAUCGUUCCAGACACCUACAGGAAGCAGCAGUGGAGAAUAUUAGAGAAUGGGCGCAAGCCUGAUCCAGCCAUACCGCGUGAGUGAAGAAGGCCUUCGGCUUGUAAAGCCCUUUUGUUGGGAGAGAAGAACAGCAGGUUAAUACCCCGCUGUUCUGACGGUACCCAAAGAAUAAGCACCGGCUAACUUCGUG